rnacentral:rRNA from 1 species
GUAGGGAAUCUUGCGCAAUGGGCGAAAGCCUGACGCAGCCAUGCCGCGUGAAUGAUGAAGGUCUUAGGAUUGUAAAAUUCUUUCACCGGGGACGAUAAUGACGGUACCCGGAGAAGAAGCCCCGGCUAACUUCGUGCCAGCAGCCGCGGUAAUACGAAGGGGGCUAGCGUUGCUCGGAAUUACUGGGCGUAAAGGGAGCGUAGGCGGAUAGUUUAGUCAGAGGUGAAAGCCCAGGGCUCAACCUUGGAAUUGCCUUUGAUACUGGCUGUCUUGAGUACGGGAGAGGUGAGUGGAACUCCGGGUGUAGAGGUGAAAUUCGUAGAUAUUCGGAAGAACACCAGUGGCGAAGGCGACUCACUGGCCCGUUACUGACGCUGAGGCGCGAAAGCGUGGGGAGCAAACAGGAUUAGAUACCCCUGUAGUCC